rnacentral:rRNA from 1 species
GACGAACGCUGGCGGCGUGCCUAAUACAUGCAAGUCGAGCGGACGAAUCGAAAGCUUGCUUUUGAUUCGUUAGCGGCGGACGGGUGAGUAACACGUGGGCAACCUGCCCUGUAGACGGGGAUAACACCGAGAAAUCGGUGCUAAUACCGGAUAACACGAAAUGUCGCAUGACGUUUCGUUGAAAGACGGCGCAAGCUGUCGCUACAGGAUGGGCCCGCGGCGCAUUAGCUAGUUGGUGAGGUAACGGCUCACCAAGGCGACGAUGCGUAGUCGACCUGAGAGGGUGAUCGGCCACACUGGGACUGAGACACGGCCCAGACUCCUACGGGAGGCAGCAGUAGGGAAUCUUCCGCAAUGGACGAAAGUCUGACGGAGCAACGCCGCGUGAGUGAUGAAGGCUUUCGGGUCGUAAAACUCUGUUGUUAGGGAAGAACAAGUACGAGAGUAACUGCUCGUACCUUGACGGUACCUAACCAGAAAGCCACGGCUAACUACGUGCCAGCCGCCGCCGUAAUAC